UCACCCCUCCUACCCCCCGUGAGGAGGGAGUCUGAUCGGCUCAUGGCUGCAGUCUCUGAAGCCGAUUCGAGCCUCGCCGGGCCCAGCUCCUCGGCGCCUCUCGGCGGCUCCGGGAAGGCACUGGACGACUGUGGCGGGGAGGGAGGGGGGGCGCAGGAGGCGGCGGCGGCGUCUCAAACAAACCCUUCUAUCUGCUCCGCGAACCAGCUCUUUAUCACAGGUGUCAAGACUAGCAGUGGCAUCUGGAGGGGCGGGCGGGCGGGUGAGCGAGCGGUGAGGACUUCACCUGUAGGGGUGGUCACCGUGCAGUCGCUGUACGGGAGUUGGUUGAGGCCCUCUUCCACGACCAAGCGAAUCUACGCGGAGCACGCACAACGGGCGGAGCGCACACAAGCACAGGACGCCCACCAGGUGUCCUUCAGGCCCCGCGCGCGUGCGCACACCGCAACGUACCAGCCGGUCGGCACUGAACACGAAGUCCCCUCUGCUGGUCGACCUGCGGAAUACAGACGGCACACCGCUAACGUCAACAAUGAAUGCACGAAUAAACAGCAUCACAUUAAAUUUGGUUCUGCGUUUCAGUUGGUUAAAUUCCACCCUAUGGGAAUUUCCAUUUUCUAGUUUAUUAUGCAACAAACAUUACGAUCAAUGCAAGAGUAUAAUGUCGUGGGUUUUAUCCAGACCCCUGACACCAGCUGUAUAUUUGGAGUUUGCGUGUCUCUCUCUCUCCCAGUGGUCGCGUGGAUUUUUCUCCGGGUCCUUCGGUUUUUUCCCCUCCACAUUUAGAAUCGACGUGGCGUUUCGAGUUUUUGGCUGCUAGAAAUUUCCACACGAUAAGCCACUUGGUUGAGCUAUCAUUUGUGGCCAGGUCGCUUCUGAAAAGAAGCUAAAAAGCUCAGUGGGCAUUAUCUGGUAUAAUAAAAAUUAACCCGUAAAAACAAAGUUUUUCACUAUAAAUCCUUUAUAUGCGUGGCGGCUAGAGUCCUCUCGUCCUCUGGCUUGAGAUGGCUGCCACCAUUAAGCAAUUGGUAAUUAAAUAUAAUUAAUUUUUUCCUAAAAAGUGUACAAUUUUGGAAAAAAAAUUUUCACGAAAAUACAUUGUCACGCACAACGAGUCUGUGUGCAAAAUGUCAGCUCGAUUGGAUCACGGGAAGUGGGUUAAAAAAACGACCGAAAGAUUUGCACGGUCGUAAGCAAGCAAGCAAGCAAGUGAACUUAAUAUAAAGGAUUUAAAAAUAGGUUGUGCUUUGUCUCAAGACACGACGCCAGUCGCCUAAGCAAGAAGAAAAAAAGUCAGAUUCGUACAAAAAAAAUUCAAGUAAAUUCAAACAAAUCUGACAUUUCAACGGCCCCACCAGCACAAGGCUGGAAUGCAGACCAACACCUACUCAAGUUCAAUCAAAGCGCGUCACUGCUCGAGCAGCAGGGUAGUGGUGCUCAUCUCUGAUAACAGCCCGAAGGCAGAGACUGGUCGGAGCC